GGUCAGGUAGCUCAGCGGUUUAGAGCACUCGGUUUACAUCCGAGGGGUCAGAGGUUCAAAUCCUCUCCUGACCACCA
rnacentral:tRNA from 1 species